UAUAUAUAUGCGCGAGUCAUUGGGUGUUACGAAACCCAAAGGUGAAGCGAAGGUAAAGGUUCGGCUUGUCCGGACUGAGGUGAGAUCCUGUUGUCUUGCUCAUACUUUCUAAGUCGCGAGCAGCGGGCGCAUCACCGGCCCGUCCUAUGACGUAGACAUGUAACCUCGUGUUGUGUGCACCGUCGGGGCGGAGCAAGAGCGUACAGGUUGAGACCCGAAAGAUGGUGAACUAUGCUUGUGAAGGUUGAAGCCAGAGGAAAUUCUGGUGGAGGACCGUAGCGAUUCUGACGUGCAAAUCGAUCGUAUAACGUGAGUAUAUGGGCGAAAGACUAAUCGAACUAUCUAGUAGCUGGUUCCCUCCAAAGUUUCCCUCAGGAUAGAUGGCAUUCUGAGAAAUAAACAGUUUUAUCCGGUAAAGCGAAUGAUUAGAGGCACUAGGGAUAAAUCAUCCUCAACCUAUUCUCAGACCUUAAAUGGGUGAGAAGCUUAACUCGCAACUCGCUUAAUUGGAGUUUUGCAUUGAAUGUGAGUGCCAAGUGGACCAUUUUUGGUAAUCAGAACUGGCUCUGUGGGAUGAACAUUAAAAAUUAGCUCUAACAGAUCAUAAAAUGAUUAGAGACGAAGAUAUAAUCCACUCCAUUCUAAAUCAUUUGCUUCAAUGUGUUUUACAUGAUCAUAUGAUAUUAGGAUCAUGAAAUAUAUUCCAGGCAGCAUUUUUAAUACACAAGUCUAGACAGUUCUACUGUAUGGAGCGGAAAACUGGAGGAAUAGGAAACCUAUCAUCCAGAAGAUACAGGUGUUUAUUAACAGUUUGUCCA
rnacentral:ncRNA from 1 species